CCUACGGGAGGCAGCAGUGGGGAAUCUUGCGCAAUGGGGGAAACCCUGACGCAGCAACGCCGCGUGAGUGAUGAAGGCCUUCGGGUCGUAAAGCUCUGUCAGAGGGGAAGAAAUGCAGGUGGUGAACAACCAUUCUGUUUGACGGUGCCCUCAAAGGAAGCACCGGCUAACUACGUGCCAGCAGCCGCGGUAAUACGUAGGGUGCGAGCGUUAAUCGGAAUUACUGGGCGUAAAGCGUGCGCAGGCGGCUUUGUAAGACGGAUGUAAAAUCCCUGGGCUUAACCUAGGAACUGCGUUCGGGACUGCAAAGCUAGAGUGCGGCAGAGGGGGGUGAAAUUCCUGGUGUAGCAGUAAAAUGCGUAGAGAUCAGGAGGAACACCGAUGGCGAAGGCGGCCCCCUGGGUUGG
rnacentral:rRNA from 1 species